AAGUGACGCGGUAGAGGAGCGUUCUGUAAGCCUGUGAAGGUGAGUUGAGAAGCUUGCUGGAGGUAUCAGAAGUGCGAAUGCUGACAUGAGUAACGACAAUGGGUGUGAAAAACACCCACGCCGAAAGACCAAGGGUUCCUGCGCAACGUUAAUCGACGCAGGGUUAGUCGGUUCCUAAGGCGAGGCUGAAAAGCGUAGUCGAUGGGAAACGGGUUAAUAUUCCUGUACUUCUGGUUACUGCGAUGGAGGGACGGAGAAGGCUAGGCCAGCUUGGCGUUGGUUGUCCAAGUUUAAGGUGGUAGGCUGAAAUCUUAGGUAAAUCCGGGGUUUCAAGGCCGAGAGCUGAUGACGAGUCGUCUUUUAGAUGACGAAGUGGUUGAUGCCAUGCUUCCAAGAAAAGCUUCUAAGCUUCAGGUAACCAGGAACCGUACCCCAAACCGACACAGGUGGUCGGGUAGAGAAUACCAAGGCGCUUGAGAGAACUCGGGUGAAGGAACUAGGCAAAAUGGCACCGUAACUUCGGGAGAAGGUGCGCCGGCUAGGGUGAAGGAUUUACUCCGUAAGCUCUGGCUGGUCGAAGAUACCAGGCCGCUGCGACUGUUUAUUAAAAACACAGCACUCUGCAAACACGAAAGUGGACGUAUAGGGUGUGACGCCUGCCCGGUGCCGGAAGGUUAAUUGAUGGGGUUAGCGCAAGCGAAGCUCUUGAUCGAAGCCCCGGUAAACGGCAGCCGUAACAAUAACGGUCCUAAGGUAGCGAAAUUCCUUGUCGGGUAAGUUCCGACCUGCACGAAUGGCGUAACGAUGGCGGCGCUGUCUCCACCCGAGACUCAGUGAAAUUGAAAUCGCUGUGAAGAUGCAGUGUAUCCGCGGCUAGACGGAAAGACCCCGUGAACCUUUACUGUAGCUUUGCACUGGACUUUGAGCCUGCUUGUGUAGGAUAGGAGGGAGGCUUUGAAGCGUGGACGCCAGUUCGCGUGGAGCCAUCCUUGAAAUACCACCCUGGCAUGCUUGAGGUUCUAACUCUGGUCCGUAAUCCGGAUCGAGGACAGUGUAUGGUGGGCAGUUUGACUGGGGCGGUCUCCUCCUAAAGAGUAACGGAGGAGUACGAAGGUGCGCUCAGACCGGUCGGAAAUCGGUCGCAGAGUAUAAAGGCAAAAGCGCGCUUGACUGCGAGACAGACACGUCGAGCAGGUACGAAAGUAGGUCUUAGUGAUCCGGUGGUUCUGUAUGGAAGGGCCAUCGCUCAACGGAUAAAAGGUACUCCGGGGAUAACAGGCUGAUACCGCCCAAGAGUUCAUAUCGACGGCGGUGUUUGGCACCUCGAUGUCGGCUCAUCACAUCCUGGGGCUGAAGCCGGUCCCAAGGGUAUGGCUGUUCGCCAUUUAAAGUGGUACGCGAGCUGGGUUUAGAACGUCGUGAGACAGUUCGGUCCCUAUCUGCCGUGGACGUUUGAGAUUUGAGAGGGGCUGCUCCUAGUACGAGAGGACCGGAGUGGACGAACCUCUGGUGUUCCGGUUGUCACGCCAGUGGCAUUGCCGGGUAGCUAUGUUCGGAAAAGAUAACCGCUGAAAGCAUCUAAGCGGGAAACUUGCCUCAAGAUGAGAUCUCACUGGGAACUUGAUUCCCCUGAAGGGCCGUCGAAGACUACGACGUUGAUAGGCUGGGUGUGUAAGCGUUGUGAGGCGUUGAGCUAACCAGUACUAAUUGCCCGUGAGGCUUGACC
rnacentral:rRNA from 1 species